CUCAAUGAUGAUACAAAGGCUAAUGUGACUCGGCCAGCUGGGCUGCACCCUCAGCCCGCUCCUGUCAUACGGGUCUGUAAUCUUGGUGGACGAUGCUGAGCUGUGCAUGUUCGCUGUAAGGGCAGACCGACAGAAAAUCCUCUUGCCCAUGUCCCUGGAAAAUACAUCUGUGGGAUGUAUCAGCUCAGAGUGAGUUUUCCUCUGAGCUGAUG
rnacentral:snoRNA from 12 species